UACGAAGGGGGGCUAGCGUUGCUCGGAAUCACUGGGCGUAAAGGGUGCGUAGGCGGGUCUUUAAGUCAGGGGUGAAUCCUGGAGCUCAACUCCAGAACUGCCUUUGAUACUGAAGAUCUUGAGUUCGGGAGAGGUGAGUGGAACUGCGAGUGUAGAGGUGAAAUUCGUAGAUAUUCGCAAGAACACCAGUGGCGAAGGCGGCUCACUGGCCCGGUACUGACGCUGAGGUGCGAAAGCGUGGGGAGCAAACAGG
rnacentral:rRNA from 1 species